GUGCUGCCUCUAGCUUCAGACGCCGAGCCAGUUAGAGGUAGCCUGGAAGACUGGAUUUCUUUAGAUUGUUGCCCCGUAUUCAGAUCCACCCAGCACCAGGCUCAGUGGGAGCAGGGUGACUGAGGGAUACUGGGCUGAACAUGAGUGACGAACCUUACCAGCUCCAGCUUAAGGGCUACAUAUGAGAGAGCACUUUUUACUGGAGACUGUCCCAAAGACGCUUCACAGAGUAACAGAGGCGGAUUAGUAGAUGAGCAAACACCAGACCUGAACCCAAAAUAUAGCAGCCCC